UACGUAGGGGGCAAGCGUUGUCCGGAUUUAUUGGGCGUAAAGAGCGUGUAGGCGGCCUGGUAGGUCAGCUGUGAAAACUCGAGGCUCAACCUCGAGACGCCGAUGGAAACCAUCUAGCUAGAGUCCGGAAGAGGAGAGUGGAAUUCCUGGUGUAGCGGUGAAAUGCGCAGAUAUCAGGAGGAACACCGAUGGCGAAGGCAGCUCGCUGGGACGGUACUGACGCUGAGGCGCGAAAGCGUGGGGAGCAAACAGG
rnacentral:rRNA from 1 species